rnacentral:rRNA from 1 species
GACGAACGCUGGCGGCGUGCCUAACACAUGCAAGUCUAAGGAGAAAAGGGUAGCAAUAUCCUGAGUAAACUGGCGCACGGGUGAGUAACACGUAGGCAAUCUGCCUUUAGGACGGGAACAACCACGCGAAAGCGUGGCUAAUACCCGAUAAUGCAGCGGCACCGCAUGGUGACAGUUGUUAAAUCCCGCAAGGGGCCUAUUGAUGAGCCUGCGUCCCAUUAGGUAGUGGUGAGGUAACGGCUCACCAAGCCUGCGAUGGGUAGCUGGUCUGAGAGGAUGAUCAGCCACACUGGAACUGAGACACGGUCCAGACUCCGUACGGGAGGCAGCAGUGAGGAAUAUUGCGCAAUGGCCGAAAGGCUGACGCAGCGACGCCGCGUGAAGGAUG